UACGAAGGGGGCUAGCGUUGUUCGGAAUUACUGGGCGUAAAGCGCGCGCAGGCGGUCUCCCAAGUCAGUGGUGAAAGCCCGGAGCUCAACUCCGGAAAUGCCAUUGAAACUGUGAGACUGGAGUACGAGAGAGGUGAGUGGAAUUCCCAGUGUAGAGGUGAAAUUCGUAGAUAUUGGGAAGAACACCGAUGGCGAAGGCAGCCAUCUGGACCGACACUGACGCUGAGGCGCGAAAGCGUGGGGAGCAAACAGG
rnacentral:rRNA from 1 species